CCUAUGGGAGGCAGCAGUGGGGAAUAUUGGACAAUGGGCGAAAGCCUGAUCCAGCCAUGCCGCGUGUGUGAAGAAGGCCUUCGGGUUGUAAAGCACUUUCAGUGGGGAAGAAAGCCUUGGGGCUAAUACCCUCGAGGAAGGACAUCACCCACAGAAGAAGCACCGGCUAACUCCGUGCCAGCAGCCGCGGUAAUACGGAGGGUGCGAGCGUUAAUCGGAAUUACUGGGCGUAAAGCGCGCGUAGGCGGUCUGAUAAGCCGGUUGUGAAAGCCCCGGGCUCAACCUGGGAACGGCAUCCGGAACUGUCAGGCUAGAGUGCAGGAGAGGAAGGUAGAAUUCCCGGUGUAGCGGUGAAGUGCGUAGAGAUCGGGAGGAAUACCAGUGGCGAAGGCGGCCUUCUGGACUGACACUGACGCUGAGGUGCGAAAGCGUGGGUAGCAAACAGGAUUAGAUACCCGAGUAGUC
rnacentral:rRNA from 1 species